AGCUUGCUCUUAUGGGUGGCGAGUGGCGGACGGGUGAGGAAUACAUCGGAAUCUACUUUUUCGUGGGGGAUAACGUAGGGAAACUUACGCUAAUACCGCAUACGACCUACGGGUGAAAGCAGGGGACCUUCGGGCCUUGCGCGAUUGAAUGAGCCGAUGUCGGAUUAGCUAGUUGGCGGGGUAAAGGCCCACCAAGGCGACGAUCCGUAGCUGGUCUGAGAGGAUGAUCAGCCACACUGGAACUGAGACACGGUCCAGACUCCUACGGGAGGCAGCAGUGGGGAAUAUUGGACAAUGGGCGCAAGCCUGAUCCAGCCAUACCGCGUGGGUGAAGAAGGCCUUCGGGUUGUAAAGCCCUUUUGUUGGGAAAGAAAUCCAGCCGGCUAAUACCUGGUUGGGAUGACGGUACCCAAAGAAUAAGCACCGGCUAACUUCGUGCCAGCAGCCGCGGUAAUACGAAGGGUGCAAGCGUUACUCGGAAUUACUGGGCGUAAAGCGUGCGUAGGUGGUUGUUUAAGUCUGUUGUGAAAGCCCUGGGCUCAACCUGGGAACUGCAGUGGAAACUGGACAACUAGAGUGUGGUAGAGGGUAGCGGAAUUCCCGGUGUAGCAGUGAAAUGCGUAGAGAUCGGGAGGAACAUCCAUGGCG
rnacentral:rRNA from 1 species